rnacentral:rRNA from 1 species
ACGAACGCUGGCGGCGUGCCUAACACAUGCAAGUCGAGCGAGAACCCAGCAAUGGGGGACAGCGGCGCAAGGGACAGUAAUGUGUAGAUCAUCUGCCCUCAGGCCCGGGAUAGCUGCGGGAAACUGCAGGUAAUACCGGAUAACAUCUCCGGAUCAAAGGUGUGAUUCCGCCUGAGGAUGAGUCUACAUCCUAUUAGCUAGUUGGCAGGGUAACGGCCUACCAAGGCGAUGAUGGGUAGCGGGUGUGAGAGCACGACCCGCGUCAUUGGGACUGAGACACUGACCAGACACCUACGGGUGGCUGCAGUCGAGAAUCUUCGGCAAUGGGCGCAAGCCUGACCGAGCGACGCCGCGUGCGGGAUGAAGGCCUUCGGGUUGUAAACCGCUGUCAGAGGGGAUGAAAUGCAGGUGGGUUCUCCCAUCUGUUUGACAUAGCCUCAGAGGAAGGACGGGCUAAGUUCGU